rnacentral:rRNA from 1 species
GACAUCUACGUGCAAUCAGUCGGUGUGAGUGCUAGUGUGUGAGUGUGGGUCGCAAUGAGUGGUCGUAUAGGGCUGGUAGUCGGUGUGUCGGGACGAGAGUGAAAACUUACAGCUGUAAUGAGAGCGUGCUGUAGAUACGGGCAGAAUUGAGGCAAUCAGGGGAGAACAGAAUUCCUGGGGUAGCGGUGAAAUGCGCAGAUAUCAGGAGGGACACCGGUGGCGAAGGCGGUACUCUGGGAAUGUGCUGACGCUGAGGAGCGAAAGUGUGGGGGGCGAACAGGAUUAGAUACCCCAGUAGUC